rnacentral:misc_RNA from 1 species
UGAGGAUUGGAUGGAUGUUUUAUUCUAAGGUACAAAGAUAAAUGGAAUCAACUCAAGAAAAUAAUGAAUGUUAAUCGUGUAAAAUUGCAAGAGGUUAAUAAUCUCUUCUCCUGCUGUUGGCAAGAUCACUGUCAAAAUCGUCGCCUUCAUUCUCACAUUGUUCUAACAAUUCUUUAUAGGCAGGAUUGUACGCAACAGCUAACUGCAGAUACUUUGCAGCUUCAGCUCUACGACCUUCGUUUGAUAAAGCACUUGCAAGAAAUACCANAAAGUAAUGGACUUUGCUGUUUGGGUCCUCUGGUUCUUCUAAACUUGCAACUCUUUCUAGGUGCACAAUUCCUUCUGCAUUCUUCCCCUGCCGAAUACAGGCAACACCAGCCCACUGUGAUGCAAGAAUUAGGAGAUCAGCAUACUUGACUUCUGUUGGAUGGCCAUCAACACAUAGCUUGGAAAUGGCACGUCCCAAAUAUUCUGCAGCCUCUGCAUACAUUUCUUUCUGCAGCAGAAUCUGCCCCAUAACAAUCAGGGCUUCUAUGUAGUUAGGGUCCUUCUGAACUGCCAGCUGUAACAAAGGUAUUGCUCUUUCUCUAUGCCCAUCAGACAUGAGUUGGACUGAGAGAGCAAGCAAUUUCUUAGGGCUUAAAUUUUCCACAGAAACUUUGCCCUGCUUGCUUGGUGAAUCUGAAGACGUUCUUUCUAUUAUACCCAAAUCUUCAGACUCUGCAGCUGUUGCCGUCUGAGAUCCCAUGUUUGGUAACCCUAACUUUGCACGUAUGGUAGGAUGUUUGAGAGAUAAUUGCUGGAUAACACUUAAUGAACUA